rnacentral:rRNA from 1 species
AGUGGCGGACGGGUGAGUAACGCGUGAGAAUCUGCCUUGGGGUCGGGGACAACCACUGGAAACGGUGGCUAAUACCGGAUAGGCCGAUUGGUGAAAGAUUUAUUGCCCGAAGAGGAGCUCGCGUCUGAUUAGCUAGUUGGUGAGGUAAGAGCUCACCAAGGCAGCGAUCAGUAGCUGGUCUGAGAGGACGAUCAGCCACACUGGGACUGAGACACGGCCCAGACUCCUACGGGAGGCAGCAGUGGGGAAUUUUCCGCAAUGGGCGAAAGCCUGACGGAGCAAGACCGCGUGAGGGAGGAAGGCUCUUGGGUUGUAAACCUCUUUUCUCAGGGAAGAAGCUCUGACGGUACCUGAGGAAUCAGCCUCGGCUAACUCCGUGCCAGCAGCCGCGGUAAUACGGAGGAGGCAAGCGUUAUCCGGAAUUAUUGGGCGUAAAGCGUCCGCAGGUGGCGAUUCAAGUCUGCUGUCAAAGCACGGGGCUUAACUCCGUAAAGGCAGUGGAAACUGAAUAGCUAGAGUGCCGUAGGGGUAGAGGGAAUUCCCGGUGUAGCGGUGAAAUGCGUAGAGAUCGGGAAGAACAUCGGUGGCGAAAGCGCUCUACUGGACGGCAACUGACACUCAGGGACGAAAGCUAGGGGAGCGAAUGGGAUUAGAUACCCC